rnacentral:rRNA from 1 species
AUUGAACGCUGGCGGCAGGCCUAACACAUGCACGUCGAGCGGAGAGGCGGACGGGUGAGUAAAGCCUAGGUAUCUGCCUGGUAGUGGGGGAUAACGUCCGGAAACGGGCGCUAAUACCGCAUACUAUCAGAUGAGCCUCGGUCGGAUUAGCUAGUUGGUGGGGUAAAGGCCUGCCAAGGCGACGCUCCGGAACUGGUCUGAGAGGAGGAUCAGUCACACUGGAACUGAGAAACGGGCCAGGCGCCUACGGAAGGCAGCAGGGGGAAAUAUGGGAGAAUGGGCGAAAGCCUGAUCCAGCCAGGCCGCGUGUGGGAAGAAGGUCUUCGGAUGGUAAAGCACUUUAAGUUGGGAGGCGGUACCAACAUAAUAAGCAUCGGCUAACUUCGUGCCAGCAGCCGCGGUAAUUC